GUGAAUCAUCGAAUUUUUGAACGCAAAUUGCACUCUCCUCGGAGAGUAUGCCUGUUUGAGGGUCAGCCUAUAAAAAAUCGACAUCGUUGCUGUUUCACGGUGACGUUCGUCGGAAAUUGGGUCAUCUUAAAUCUUUUGGGUUUAAGCGACUUAAAAUUUUCUUUUUGAUUCCAUGUACGUGUUUAUGAGUUUUAUUUCUUUACACGUUUGGGAUAUCGAUUUAUUUUAC
rnacentral:misc_RNA from 1 species